rnacentral:rRNA from 1 species
CGGGUGAGGAAUGCAUAGGAAUCUGCCCAGUAGCGGGGGACAACCUGGGGAAACUCAGGCUAAUACCGCAUAAGCCCUACGGGGGAAAGCGGGGGACCUUCGAGCCUCGCACUAUUGGAUGAGCCUAUGUCAGAUUAGCUUGUUGGUAGGGUAACGGCCUACCAAGGCGACGAUCUGUAGCUGGUCUGAGAGGACGAUCAGCCACACUGGGACUGAGACACGGCCCAG